AGAUUGGAAAGAAGUGAGCAGUUUGGGAAGAUGAUAAUCAUGCUUGGAAACGAGUGACAUAGCAGCCGUUCCUGCAGAUGAGGAGACUGAGGUACAGACUGGUUGAACAACAUGCCCAGUAGCAUUGAACCCAGUUGGAACAUUUCCUUCUUUUUUUUAAGCCCACAGACCAUGAGGUUGGUUUUUCCUUUUUCCUUUUAAAAAUUUUAAAAACUUUUUGUUUAAACAAAUGUGCACACAGUGGUUCAAGAAAGGUAAAGUCCAUGAAUAUGAAAGCUGCAGUUUGCAAUAUAUCAAUGGGGUGAUGAAUUAGAAAUGGUAGUCAUUCUAAUUACACAAUCAGGUAACACCAUUAAAACUGUCCAUUGAAACUCAUUAAGACCAGCUAUUAUACUUAAAUUAGAAUGUAAACUUUUCACCUCAGGGGACUAUAUUGCAAAAUCAGUCACAAACUCCUCCCACCCCUGUGUGCAUGCUCCUUUGCCAUGUGACUUUGCACUCCUCCCAUAGAGAGUAGCCCAUUUUCCUGUCCUUUGAAUCUAGACUGGCUUUGUGACUUGGGUUGACCGAUAGAAUGCAGUACAAGUGCCAUUAUUUGACUUUCAAACCUGAGCCUCAAAAGGCCUUACAGCUUCUACUUUUGU